rnacentral:rRNA from 3 species
UUUUAUAAUGUCUAGUAUGGAGUGGAUGCCUUGGAAGAAAAAUAUAGGCG